UACAUAGGGUGCAAGCGUUGUCCGGAAUUAUUGGGCGUAAAGAGCUCGUAGGUCGUUUGUUACGUCGGAUGUGAAAACCUGAGGCUCAACCUCAGGCCUGCAUUCGAUACGGGCGAGCUUGAGUAUGGUAGGGGAGUCUGGAAUUCCUGGUGUAGCGGUGGAAUGCGCAGAUAUCAGGAGGAACACCAAUGGCGAAAGGGCAGGACUCUGGGCCAUUACUGACACUGAGGAGCGAAAGCGUGGGAGCGAACAGG
rnacentral:rRNA from 1 species